rnacentral:tRNA from 1 species
UAUUCAAAGAUUAAUUAAUCUCCUUAACAUCUUCAGUGUCACACUCUAAUUAUAAGCUAUUUGAAU